CACUGAAACUUGGUAGCCUGAGGGGAGACAGGCAGGAGUCCCAGCCAGCCAGGUUAUGGGUUGGAGAUUGUCUACUAGAAUACUGCAGCCACCCACGUAGACAACAAAUGCCACCACUCACUUUCAACUCUGCAGCUGGGUGCUGGAUGCAACCUUUUCUUUUAGGACUUCUGACCUGCCCUGCUUCUAGGAGUCCCUGGCUGGAGCAUCAGCCUGCUUGAGCAUGGGACACUGCCUGCUGCCCAGAUGCCCAGGCAGAGGAGAGCAAAGCAGGGCCUUCUCAAAUUUCCCCCAUACUCUUCAAGGCUCAUUCUGAAAUCCAAGUGCCUCCUGUGUUUUCUGCAUCCUCUGGCCUCCCUGCACCUACCCUGAGUCUUUUGUUUUGUGUAUUUGUGAUGGGGGUGGUGGAGUAGGAAAAAUGCUGCCGAGUGUGCCAGCAUUCCUCAGAGCCCACUGAAAGGGCACUGCCCGGUGGCUGUGGAGCUUUUUUCAUAGUUAUUAAUUGUGCUGGAAAUGUUAAUUUCCUGAAUGCAAAAUAUUGUGCCAGGGCUUUUCCUUUCUGAUGGCAGAAUUGGCCUUCAGGAUGACAACUGUCAGGGUGAAGGAGGGAUAUGGGAGCUUUCCUCUGCUGUGUACUCGCUUGCACUUGGAGCUGAUAGUCCCCGUGGUGUUCUCAAUGCUCAGCCAACAGGAAAUGGCAGUGGCCCAAAUAGAUCACUCUGAGCUCUAGAACAAUGACUAAGACAGACAUUGUACUCAGCACAGUACUAGGUACCUCUCACCUUAUCAUGGAAAGUGCCACCUACAGGAAGCUAUUGUCAUUUCAGCAGAAACAGGACAGGAAGUAUGACGGAACGGCAAGGAUGAAGGGUGGGUGUAACUCGACCAGCUGCUUCAAGCUGCUGCUGCCAGUCUGUCUUCCCCUUCACAGUUGACUGUAUCCCCAACCUGUAAGCCCAAAUAAACCCCUCCCUGGUUAAAAAAAUAA